rnacentral:rRNA from 1 species
GACGAACGCUGGCGGCGUGCCUAAUACAUGCAAGUAGAACGCUGAAGCUUGGUGCUUGCACCGAGCGGAUGAGUUGCGAACGGGUGAGUAACGCGUAGGUAACCUGCCUGGUAGCGGGGGAUAACUAUUGGAAACGAUAGCUAAUACCGCAUAAAAUGGAUUAUCGCAUGAUAAUCGAUUGAAAGGUGCAAAUGCAUCACUACCAGAUGGACCUGCGUUGUAUUAGCUAGUUGGUGGGGUAACGGCUCACCAAGGCGACGAUACAUAGCCGACCUGAGAGGGUGAUCGGCCACACUGGGACUGAGACACGGCCCAGACUCCUACGGGAGGCAGCAGUAGGGAAUCUUCGGCAAUGGACGGAAGUCUGACCGAGCAACGCCGCGUGAGUGAAGAAGGUUUUCGGAUCGUAAAGCUCUGUUGUAAGAGAAGAACGAGUGUGAGAGUGGAAAGUUCACACUGUGACG